rnacentral:tRNA from 1 species
ACGGGAUGUAGCUCAGUGGAUAGAGCAAUCGAUUUAGGCUCGAUUAGGCGUAGGUUCGAAUCCUACCUUCCAAUG